UGCAGACUUGUGCUCUUCCGAUCUCGUUCGUUAUCGGAAUUAACCAGACAAAUCGCUCCACCAACUAAGAAUGUCCAUGCACCACCAUCCACU